AGAAAGAUAAGCUAAAAAAAGCUAUUAGGUUCAUACCCUAAAUAUAGAAAAAUAAUCUUCUUUCUA
rnacentral:tRNA from 1 species